AGAGUUUGAUCCUGGCUCAGGAUGAACGCUGGCGGCGUGCUUAACACAUGCAAGUCGAACGAACCUUCGGGUUAGUGGCGGACGGGUGAGUAACGCGUGAGAAUCUGCCCUCAGGAGGGGGAUAACGGUUGGAAACGACCGCUAAUACCCCAUAUGCCUAUUGGUGAAAUGAAUUUCGCCUGAGGAUGAGCUCGCGUCUGAUUAGCUAGUUGGUGAGGUAAUGGCUCACCAAGGCUUCGAUCAGUAGCUGGUCUGAGAGGAUGAUCAGCCACACUGGGACUGAGACACGGCCCAGACUCCUACGGGAGGCAGCAGUGGGGAAUUUUCCGCAAUGGGCGAAAGCCUGACGGAGCAACGCCGCGUGAGGGACGAAGGCCUCUGGGCUGUAAACCUCUUUUCUCAAGGAAGAAGAUAUGACGGUACUUGAGGAAUAAGCCACGGCUAAUUCCGUGCCAGCAGCCGCGGU
rnacentral:rRNA from 1 species